GGGAAACCGAGUCUUAACCGGGCGUUAAGUUGCAGGGUAUAGACCCGAAACCCGGUGAUCUAGCCAUGGGCAGGUUGAAGGUUGGGUAACACUAACUGGAGGACCGAACCGACUAAUGUUGAAAAAUUAGCGGAUGACCUGUGGCUGGGGGUGAAAGGCCAAUCAAACCGGGAGAUAGCUGGUUCUCCCCGAAAGCUAUUUAGGUAGCGCCUCGUGAAUUCAUCUCCGGGGGUAGAGCACUGUUUCGGCUAGGGGGCCAUCCCGGCUUACCAACCCGAUGCAAACUGCGAAUACCGGAGAAUGUUAUCACGGGAGACACACGGCGGGUGCUAACGUCCGUCGUGAAGAGGGAAACAACCCAGACCGCCAGCUAAGGUCCCAAAGUCAUGGUUAAGUGGGAAACGAUGUGGGAAGGCCCAGACAGCCAGGAUGUUGGCUUAGAAGCAGCCAUCAUUUAAAGAAAGCGUAAUAGCUCACUGGUCGAGUCGGCCUGCGCGGAAGAUGUAACGGGGCUAAACCAUGCACCGAAGCUGCGGCAGCGACGCUUAUGCGUUGUUGGGUAGGGGAGCGUUCUGUAAGCCUGUGAAGGUGUGUCGUGAGGCAUGCUGGAGGUAUCAGAAGUGCGAAUGCUGACAUAAGUAACGAUAAAGCGGGUGAAAAGCCCGCUCGCCGGAAGACCAAGGGUUCCUGUCCAACGUUAAUCGGGGCAGGGUGAGUCGACCCCUAAGGCGAGGCCGAAAGGCGUAGUCGAUGGGAAACGGGUUAAUAUUCCCGUACUUGGUGUUACUGCGAAGGGGGGACGGAGAAGGCUAUGUUGGCCGGGCGACGGUUGUCCCGGUUUAAGCGUGUAGGUGUGUGUUCCAGGUAAAUCCGGUUCACUUUAACACUGAGGCGUGAUGACGAGGCACUACGGUGCUGAAGUAACAAAUGCCCUGCUUCCAGGAAAAGCCUCUAAGCAUCAGGUAACAUCAAAUCGUACCCCAAACCGACACAGGUGGUCAGGUAGAGAAUACCAAGGCGCUUGAGAGAACUCGGGUGAAGGAACUAGGCAAAAUGGUGCCGUAACUUCGGGAGAAGGCACGCUGACACGUAGGUGAAGUGAUUUACUCACGGAGCUGAAGUCAGUCGAAGAUACCAGCUGGCUGCAACUGUUUAUUAAAAACACAGCACUGUGCAAACACGAAAGUGGACGUAUACGGUGUGACGCCUGCCCGGUGCCGGAAGGUUAAUUGAUGGGGUCAGCGCAAGCGAAGCUCCUGAUCGAAGCCCCGGUAAACGGCGGCCGUAACUAUAACGGUCCUAAGGUAGCGAAAUUCCUUGUCGGGUAAGUUCCGACCUGCACGAAUGGCGUAAUGAUGGCCAGGCUGUCUCCACCCGAGACUCAGUGAAAUUGAACUCGCUGUGAAGAUGCAGUGUACCCGCGGCAAGACGGAAAGACCCCGUGAACCUUUACUAUAGCUUGACACUGAACAUUGAGCCUUGAUGUGUAGGAUAGGUGGGAGGCUUUGAAGUGUGGACGCCAGUCUGCAUGGAGCCGACCUUGAAAUACCACCCUUUAAUGUUUGAUGUUCUAACGUGGACCCGUUACCCGGGUUGCGGACAGUGUCUGGUGGGUAGUUUGACUGGGGCGGUCUCCUCCUAAAGAGUAACGGAGGAGCACGAAGGUUGGCUAAUCCUGGUCGGACAUCAGGAGGUUAGUGCAAUGGCAUAAGCCAGCUUGACUGCGAGCGUGACGGCGCGAGCAGGUGCGAAAGCAGGUCAUAGUGAUCCGGUGGUUCUGAAUGGAAGGGCCAUCGCUCAACGGAUAAAAGGUACUCCGGGGAUAACAGGCUGAUACCGCCCAAGAGUUCAUAUCGACGGCGGUGUUUGGCACCUCGAUGUCGGCUCAUCACAUCCUGGGGCUGAAGUAGGUCCCAAGGGUAUGGCUGUUCGCCAUUUAAAGUGGUACGCGAGCUGGGUUUAGAACGUCGUGAGACAGUUCGGUCCCUAUCUGCCGUGGGCGCUGGAGAACUGAGGGGGGCUGCUCCUAGUACGAGAGGACCGGAGUGGACGCAUCACUGGUGUUCGGGUUGUCAUGCCAAUGGCACUGCCCGGUAGCUAAAUGCGGAAGAGAUAAGUGCUGAAAGCAUCUAAGCACGAAACUUGCCCCGA
rnacentral:rRNA from 1 species